GGUCCGGACACGGAAAGGAUUGACAGACUGAGGGCUCUUUCUCGAUUCCGUGGGUGGUGGUGCAUGGCCGUUCUUAGUUGGUGGAGCGAUUUGUCUGGUUAAUUCCGAUAACGAGCGAGACUCUGGCAUGCUAACUAGUUACGCGGCCCCCCGCGGCCCGCGUCCAACUUCUUAGAGGGACCGGUGGCGCGCAGCCACACGAGAGUGAGCAAUAACAGGUCUGUGAUGCCCUUAGAUGUCCGGGGCCGCACGCGUGCUACAAUGACUGGGUCAGCGUGCGCGGUCCCCUUCGCCGACAGGCGUGGGUAAUCCGCUGAACCCCACUCGUGAUAGGGACUGGGGACUGCAAUUGUUCCCCACCAACGAGGAAUUCCCAGUAA
rnacentral:rRNA from 1 species